UGAUCCACAAGGCGACGGUGAAGACGGUGAACGUGGAGCGGUCCUCCGUGUCCGUGGAGUGGUUCGAGGGCGGCACCGUCAAGCAAGGAGAUUGAAAUUGAUGAUGUGAUAACAAUAAAUCCUGAGUUAUCAGAACUACCUGCUGCAGAUGCAAAAGAGAACCUUCCUUUGCAAGAGAAUGUAACUGUACAGAAACAGAAGCGUAGAACAACCCUUUCAAAAAUUCCUGCUCCACGGGAAGCUGUGUGUGGCCGUUCCAGGAUGUCUGUUAUCACAGAACCUCAGUGCAGCCUCCAGGAAAAUGAGAUGGGGGUGGAUCCCUGCACUUCUACACAAACUAGAAACAAUUCAUCGGUUCCUGCUGGCCAAACCAGGACUAGCAGGCUGAGCUGUGCUCCAGAAGCCUCACUGACAAAUGUAAAUGGAAAUACAGGGGAUCAUCUGCCUGCUGCUAGAAUGAGCUCUUCAGUGAGCCCAGUUCGGAGAAGAUCUAACAUUGUGAAAGAGAUGGAGAAAAUGAAAAACAAGAGAGAAGAAAAGAGAGCUCAAAUUAGUGAAAUCAGGACAAAGCGUGCACAGGAAUUUGACAGCAGCUGUCCAAACUGGGAGUUUGCACGGAUGAUCAAGGAAUUCAGAGCAACUUUAGACUGCCAGCCAAUAUCUAUAACUGACCCAAUAGAAGAACAUCGGAUUUGUGUCUGUGUGAGGAAGCGCCCUCUCAAUAAACAAGAACUUCUAAAAAAGGAAUGUGAUGUGAUUACUGUUCCGAGCAAGUGCGUCCUGCUGGUGCACGAGCCAAAGCAGAAAGUGGACCUAACAAAAUACCUUGAAACCCAAGCAUUUAGAUUUGACUUUUCAUUUGAUGAAUCCUCUUCUAAUGAAAUGGUAUACAGGUUCACUGCUAGACCUCUUGUAGAGACCAUCUUUGAGGGUGGGAAGGCGACAUGCUUUGCAUAUGGCCAGACAGGCAGUGGCAAGACACAUACUAUGGGCGGAGACUUCUCCGGGAGAGCACAGAAUGCCUCAAAGGGCAUAUAUGCUUUUGCAUCACAAGAUGUCUUCCUCCUUCUAAACCAGCCCAGGUACAGGAGUCAGGGCCUGGAAGUCUAUGUGACUUUCUUUGAAAUAUACAAUGGAAAGGUGUUUGACCUCUUGAAUAAGAAGGCAAAGCUUCGAGUCCUGGAGGACGGCAAGCAGCAGGUCCAGGUCGUUGGUCUCCAAGAGAGACAAGUCGGCUGUGCUGAGGAUGUCAUCAGAAUGAUUGAGAUGGGCAGUGCCUGCAGGACAUCUGGGCAGACUUUUGCAAACGCUAGCUCUUCACGGUCACAUGCCUGCUUCCAAAUUAUACUACGCCGAAGAGGGAAACUGCUUGGCAAAUUUUCUUUAGUGGAUCUGGCAGGAAAUGAGAGGGGUGCAGACACAUCUAGUGCUGAUCGGCAGACACGAAUGGAAGGUGCAGAAAUCAAUAAGAGCUUGCUGGCUUUGAAGGAAUGUAUCCGAGCUUUAGGGCAGAACAAAUCUCAUACCCCUUUCCGGGAGAGCAAGCUGACCCAGGUGCUAAGAGACUCUUUCAUAGGAACAAACUCAAGGACCUGUAUGAUAGCAAUGAUUUCUCCAGGCAUGAGUUCGUGUGAGUACACCUUAAACACACUGAGAUACGCUGACAGAGUGAAAGAGCUCAGCCCUCAUAAUGGAGGUGGUGAAACACAGAAUCAGAUGGAGACUGAGAAUGAGGAAACGGAGACCAGUGGAGAAGCUCUCCAAGGAUGAGGAGGAAGAUAUCUCUCCCCACAUGUUCAACUUUCGUGAGGCUAUGACUCAAAUUAGUGAACGGGAGGAGAAGGUUGUAGAACAGCUUAGAGAACUGAGACAGAGAAUGACAACUGAACUUGACUACCUCUUGGGAAUCACAGAGCAACCAGACUAUGAUCUCGAGACCUUUGUGAGCAGAGCUAAGCACUUUGUAGAGGAGAACUCAAGAAACUUCCUUAGUGUCAGAGAAACGUUGGAUGCCCUGGGGGCUGCCAUGCAACUGGAGGAGCAAGCCAGCAAGCAGAUGAGCCGGCAGAGGCCUUAGUAAAUACAGCAAAACCUGGUUCACAAGCAGUCUUCUGUAUGUCUUGCAUGUUUGUCAGUGGUUUGUGUAACUCCUAUUCUAAAUGUGGUGGAGUGUCUGCACGUUAUGUGUGCCUGAGGGCAGUGAACACGGCAGCCUCUCUCUCUUCACGGCCUGGUGUCAGGGCACUCAGCAGAGUGCUAGAAACACACCCCCUGCAAGGCUUGGGGAGGGGGGCCUGAGAGUCUGCUAGAUGUGUCUAGCAUCUGGCCCUUUGCUAGUGACAAUGGUCUCCUCUAAUAGAACUAGAAACACAUGUAUAGUUUUCUAGUGUAUGUAUAACCUUUCCAGAUGUGCUUGAAACACUGCAAAACUGCUGCAAGUCUGGCUUUUCUAGAAAGAAAAUGGACUAUAUGUAAUUGUAAAAACUCAGUAUUUUAAGAAGUUUGAUAAAUAAAUGUUCCUGGAUUUAAUUAUCUUCUAUCUUAUAAAAUAUAUUUCUUGCUGAUUUUGGUGAAGUCUAACAGCCCCUAAAGACUGGCUGGUGUUGUAGAGAGAGGCUGAUUUCUUGGAUGAAGUUUCUUUUUAAAGUCUUUACACUUGUAAUGUUUACCAAAAAAUCACUCAAAAUAAAUUGUCUCUUAAUU